rnacentral:rRNA from 1 species
AUUGAACGCUGGCGGCAGGCCUAACACAUGCAAGUCGAGCGGCAGCGGGAAAGUAGCUUGCUACUUUUGCCGGCGAGCGGCGGACGGGUGAGUAAUGCCUGGGGAUCUGCCCAGUCGAGGGGGAUAACUACUGGAAACGGUAGCUAAUACCGCAUACGCCCUACAGGGGAAAGCAGGGGACCUUCGGGCCUUGCGCGAUUGGAUGAACCCAGGUGGGAUUAGCUAGUUGGUGAGGUAAUGGCUCACCAAGGCGACGAUCCCUAGCUGGUCUGGGAGGAGGAUCAGCCACACUGGAACUGAGACACGGUCCAGACUCCUAAGGGAGGCAGCAGUGGGGAAUAUUGCACAAUGGGGGAAACCCUGAUGCAGCCAUGCCGCGUGUGUGAAGAAGGCCUUCGGGUUGUAAAGCACUUUCAGCGAGGAGGAAAGGUUGGUAGCUAAUAACUGCCAGCUGUGACGUUACUCGCAGAAGAAGCACCGGCUAACUCCGUGCCAGCCGCCGCCGUAAGAC